AUUGAACGCUGGCGGAAUGCUUUACACAUGCAAGUCGAACGGUAGAGGGGGCAACCCCUUGAGAGUGGCGAACGGGUGAGUAAUAUAUCGGAACGUGCCCAGUCGUGGGGGAUAACGUAGCGAAAGUUACGCUAAUACCGCAUACGAUCUAAGGAUGAAAGCAGGGGACCGCAAGGCCUUGCGCGGACGGAGCGGCCGAUGGCAGAUUAGGUAGUUGGUGGGAUAAAAGCUUACCAAGCCGACGAUCUGUAGCUGGUCUGAGAGGACGACCAGCCACACUGGAACUGAGACACGGUCCAGACUCCUACGGGAGGCAGCAGUGGGGAAUUUUGGACAAUGGGCGCAAGCCUGAUCCAGCCAUUCCGCGUGCAGGAUGAAGGCCUUCGGUUGGUAAACUGCUUUUGUUACGGAACGAAAAGGUCUCUAUUAAUUACUAGGGGCGUCAUGACGGUACUGUAA
rnacentral:rRNA from 1 species